UACGAAGGGGGCUAGCGUUGUUCGGAAUUACUGGGCGUAAAGCGCGCGCAGGCGGUCUUCCAAGUCAGUGGUGAAAGCCCGGAGCUCAACUCCGGAACUGCCAUUGAAACUGUGAGACUUGAGGAUGAGAGAGGUGAGUGGAAUUCCCAGUGUAGAGGUGAAAUUCGUAGAUAUUGGGAAGAACACCGGUGGCGAAGGCGGCUCACUGGCUCAUUUCUGACGCUCAGGCGGACG
rnacentral:rRNA from 1 species